ACUGAUUACAAGGUGCUGCAUGGUUGUUGUCAGCUCGUGCCGUGAGGCGUCAGGUUAAGUCCUAUAACGAGCGCAACCCCUGUCGUUAGUUGCCAGCAUGUUAUGAUGGGGACUCUAACGAGACUGCCUACGCAAGUAGAGAGGAAGGUGGGGAUGACGUCAAAUCAUCACGGCCCUUACGUCUUGGGCCACACACUUGUUACAAUGGUUUGGACAUAGAGCAGCCAAAAGCAACAGAGAUACGCGUUACAAACCAUAGCACAGGGCGGAUCGGAGGCAAGCACAAUGUUACCCCUCGAUGGAAUCGAUGUAACCGUGAUUCACUAGUUAAUGCGGUGAAUAGGUUCAGCUGGCCUUGUACA
rnacentral:rRNA from 1 species